UCAAGCUUGAGAUUUGCGACU
rnacentral:miRNA from 1 species